AAACGACUCUCGGCAACGGAUAUCUCGGCUCUCGCAUCGAUGAAGAACGUAGCGAAAUGCGAUACUUGGUGUGAAUUGCAGAAUCCCGUGAACCAUCGAGUCUUUGAACGCAAGUUGCGCCCGAAGCCUUUAGGCCGAGGGCACGUCUGCCUGGGCGUCACACAACGUUGCCCCCCCAAUCCCCGUCCACCCCGUCGUGGCGGCGGAAGAGGAGGGGGCGGAUGAUGGCCUCCCGUGAGCUUCUCGGCCUCGCGGUUGGCCCAAACGCGAGUCCUCGGCCGCGGUGGCCGCGACGAUCGGUGGUUGCAAGGCCAUUCGGUGCCCCGUCGCGCGCCGUCGCGCCUCGCGAGACUCAGAGAGACCCCAUCGCGCCUCGGCGCUCCCGACGCGACCCCAGGUCAGGCGGGGCUACCCGCUGAGUUUAAGCAUAUCAAUAAGCGGAGGAAAAGAAACUUACGAGGAUUCCCUUAGUAACGGCGAGCGAACCGGGAAGAGCCC
rnacentral:rRNA from 1 species